rnacentral:lncRNA from 1 species
UCGAAUUUAAAACUUAUAAAAGUGCACUUCCAUAAGAUGCCAUAUUCGCAUGGCUUAUAUACAAUAGUCAAAAUAUCAUUCUACUUAUAGUUUAUCCUAUACAUGCCAUAAGCUAAGUCCAAAUCACAUGAUUACUACAAUAGUAGAUAGCGUGACGAAGUACUGACGAUCCCCGAGCUAAUAGUAAGAGUCAACGAUCUACAAAAAUAAACAGAGAAACAUAACAUUCAAAGUAAGCUUUCAUAAGCUUAGUAAGUCUUAAGCAAUUUAGACAGUUGAACUUAAAAAUAAACCAAAUGUUCGAAAUCACAUAACACUUUCUGAGUAUAAUACUAUUUGGCUGAUUAUGCACAAACACAUAUCAUUUUACUCCGUUUAUACUCAAACUCAUAUAAACAUAGUAUUUACAAGCUUCCGGAUUAACUUUAAUUCUUUCAAAUUUCACUAGUGUAUCAUUUCUUACCCACACUUACUUUCAAAAUUUAUAGUUAAAUGGCAUAUCGAAAACUAUCUUGUAACUUUGCAUAAUAACUGAAUACACACAUAUACAAAUAUACAUCUGAAUUUACAACAUCUUUUCAUAUGUUACUCAUUACACAUUCUUAAUUCCCGUCAGAUCAAUCUCACAUAUAAUAUAUAUAUCACAUACCUGAAUCACUUAAUGUGUAAUACGAGUUCAAUUUAUCAUCAUAGCGUAGGAUCUCGUAGUCAUAUACUUUAUCAAAUUCACUAACACUUGGCUUGCGAGGUAUAAAACUCGAACAUAACACCAGCACGAAGCCUACGAGACUUUAAACUCAGAUAUAAUAGCAGCACUAGGCCUGCGGGAUUUAACUCAGAUACACAUCAAAUAUCAUGCAUAUUUAAUCAUACAUUAACACAUCUCAUUCAACAUAUCACAUUAGUAGUCAUUUGUUACAAUCGGAUAUAAGCUUCAUAUGAACACCAUCAUUUACAUUUCAGUUCAAAAGUCAUACAUAAAUAUCAUAUAUCAAUUUCACCAUUCAAACUUAACCCAUAGUGACCAUUCGACUAAAAGUCAUAUACAUAAAUUAUUUAUCGCACAACUUAAUUCAAAUAGAACCAAAAGGUCACAAUUCAUCUAAUAUAUACAUAUUGCUCACUGAUUCGCACACAACCUUUCAAAUUAGCAAUUAUAAGAUGGUUCCGCACAUAGCCCAUCCUUAUCGAUAAUUUACGAUGGUUUUACCCUUACUCACAUAUACAACAUUUUUACCUAUGCUUCUCAAUUCACAUUCAUGAUUCAAUUCCAAUCAAUUUAACAUGCAUAAGUACAUAUCGCAUACUUGGCCAACUUAAUGUAUUGAAUGAAUUCGAUUGUCGAUUUAACACAAGGUCUCAUAGUUGAACCUAAACAUGAAACCAUUUCUUAUAGGUUCGAUUCACAUCAAUCAUCAUUUUCAUUUAAUUCACAUGUACAUAAUUAGGUUGUUCGUACCUGAAUAAUUUACUUUACGGAACGAAUCCACAUAUCGUAUUAGCCCAUAGUCUUAUAACACCACACUUUUAAUAGUUCACCUCAUCGAAGUUCACAAUUAAUCACUUUAGUGCCAAGCCAUAUUCGGCUACCACAAAGGACUAAUAAUAAUAAUUUUAUACACAUCAUGGUUUCCUUUAGAUAUUUAAUAAUCACAAAGGACUACCAACACAUAUACGGCAUAGUUUAUUCAUUGUAACACUCAUUUAGUGCAUCAAAUUUCCAAGUCCAAUUCAACUUAAGCAUAAUAGCCAUAAUCGACUUAUAGCCUUAAAUCAUUACAUAUUCGGCACAUUAACUAAAUAAAAUUUACAUUCCCUUUGCCAUAUUAAUUUAACUCUUAGGCAUAUAAAAAGGAAUCAAGCUUAAACACUUAAGAACUUACCUCGAAUGUUACCGAACGAUUACAACGGCUAUUCGAUUACUUUCUCUUUUCCCUUAUCUGAAUUUGCCCCUCUAUGCUCUUGAGCUUAAAUUCAACAAUUUUAAACUUAGUCAUUAUUCGACUAUUCAAGCAUCACUUUCAGAAUAUAAUAUAUAUUCGAAUUUCACACAUACAGAUCAUAGUAAGCUUAUAAGAAAUCAAUAAGCAACUCAUUAACAAAUUUUUGUCAAUGUUUACCACAUAAUCAUAAUUUCACUGCAAGCUGUCUUCCUGAGCAACAGUCACUAAAUCAUUUAUAACUGGAGCUACAAAACUCCAAAUCAACUUCCAUUAAUUUUCCCUGAAAAUAGACUCAUAUAUCUUCUAUCCAUAAAAUUUUCAUAAUUUUUGGUUUGGCCAAUCAAUACCAGAUUUUUCUUAAAGUUUCCCCUAUUUCACUAUUUGACUAAUCUGACCACUCUUCACUACGAAUCAAAUUUCUCAUUGUACAGAAUUCAAAAUAUGUUCUCGUUGAUUUCAUUUGAAACUAGAAUCAUUAAGGAGUCUAAGCAUAUAAAAUUUAUCUUAGAACCAUUUUUGUACAAAUUAUAAUGAUUUUCUAAAUAAAAGGAAUAGGGGACCCCGAAGUCAUUUGACUCUAUCCCACACCACUUCAAAUAUCUCAUUAUCAGAAAUUCAUUUGCUUUCACGGUUUCUUUUAUAAGGAACUAGGCUCAUUAAGCUUUAAUUACAUAAUUUAUUCAGCUUCUAAAUCAUCUCCCACAAUUUAUGGUGAUUUUCCAAAAUCACAUUACUGCUACUGUCCCAAGCAGAUUUAUUACCAAUUCACUCUUUCACACAUACCUUGCAUUCACAUUAUUUAAACAUGUAUAUCACCAAUCAAUUUCAUCACAUAUCUAUACUUUCACUUACCCAUAAUCUCAAUACAAUACAUCAUGCUCAAUUAUACCUUGACUUAUCCAUUCCUUUCAUUUAAACAACCCACAUAACUUAUUCAUUCAUGAACACAUUCGGCACUAUACAUCUUUACAAAUAUUUCUUGGCACCUUUAUCAUAUUUUCACAAUCGGCAUAACCGUGUUACCAAUCUAAUACAUCAAAAUUUACUUAUCCAGGACUACAUUCAGCAUAUAUAUAUUCACAUAAACACAAUAGCCGAACACUUCAUGAAGUUACCGAGACUCAUCAUUUGCUAUUUCACACACACUCACAUCCAAUCCUUUUUAUUAAACACUCAAAACCAACCAUCUUCAUGCCUUAUCACAAAAAUAUCAAAACACCGACCAAGACACUCUACAACCCAUAGCCGAAUGCAUCACUUCAAACCAAUAACAAAAAUUGAGUCAUGGGCUAUGAAAGGAGCUUAGCAAUUAACUCAAUUUCACAUAAAUUAUCAAGAAAUAAAAUUAAACAUACCUUCAAUUAGAAUCACCAAGGCCAAAUAUCAAAGAGCCCUUUUUUUUCUACCUUAGAUUCUGAAUUUUCUCCUUGGCCGAAAUCCUCAAAAUAUCUUUCCUCUUUCUUUUUCCCACAUUCGGCAAGAACAGGCAAUGAUGUAUGGUCCCUUUUUCUUUUCUUUUUUUAUUCAUUCACCUUACCCAUUAACUAUUAUAAUAUUAAUAUGUAAGGCAUAUAUGGCUAU